rnacentral:rRNA from 1 species
AUGGCCGCCCCCAACAACGACCCCGCCGCCGCCAGCGCCAGCGCUUCCACCAGCGACGCCGCCCUCGCCGCGCCGGAGGACACCUCGAUCGAGGCGCUGGCGCGGCGCGUGCAGGAGCACAUGACCCUCGCCUCCAACCCCACCGCCCGCCGCCACAAGUUCUGGGAGACGCAGCCCGUGGGCCAGUUUGGCGACGUCGCCGACGUCUCCCUCCCCGACGGCGCCAUCGAGCCGCCCUCCCCGCUCUCCGAGGUCCGCGCCGACCCCUACCCGCUCCCCGCGGCCUUCGAGUGGUUCACCUGCGACCUCGACGACGACGCCCUCCUCGCCGACCUUUACGCCCUCCUCGCCCACAACUACGUCGAGGACGACGAGAACAUGUUCCGCUUCAACUACUCGCCGGCCUUCCUCCGCUGGGCGCUCCGCCCCCCCUCCUUCUUCCGCGCCUGGCACAUUGGCGUCCGGGCCAAGGAGUCCAAGAAGCUCGUCGCUUUCAUAUCCGGCGUCCCCGCGCGCAUCCGUGCGUGCGACGACGUUGUCCGCAUGGCCGAGAUCAACUUCCUCUGCGUCCACAAGAAGCUCCGAUCCAAGCGCCUCGCGCCGGUGCUCAUCCGGGAGGUCACCCGUCGCGUGCACCUGGAGAACAUCUGGCAGGCUGCCUACACUGCGGGCGUCGUCCUCCCGACCCCCAUCACCACCUGCCGCUACUGGCAUCGAUCCCUCAACCCGAAGAAGCUCAUCGACGUUGGCUUCUCCCGUCUUGGUCCCCGCAUGACCAUGAGCCGCACGGUCCGGCUCUACAAGCUGCCUGAUGCGCCGCUUACCCCCGGGUUCCGCCAGAUGGAGUUGCGGGAUGUUGCAGCAGUCACACGCUUGCUCAGGGCAUACCUUGCAAGGUACGUGGUGGCUCCAGAUUUUGAUGAGCUUGAUGUUGAGCACUGGUUGCUGCCCCAGGAGGAUGUAGUGGACAGCUACCUUGUGGAGAGCCCUGAGACGCACGAGGUCACAGAUUUCUGCAGCUUUUACACUCUGCCCUCGUCCGUGCUGAACAAUGCCAACUACUCAACACUCAAGGCCGCAUACUCAUAUUACAAUGUUGCUGUCAAGACCCCAUUGCAGCAGCUGAUGAAUGAUGCACUGAUUGUGGCCAAGCAGAAGAACUUUGAUGUGUUCAACGCGCUCGAUGUCAUGGAGAACGAGGGGUUCCUCAAGGAGCUCAAGUUUGGCCCUGGAGAUGGGCAGCUGCACUAUUAUCUCUAUAAUUACCGCAUUCGCAAUGGAAUCAAGCCAUCUGAGCUUGGGCUUGUGCUUCUAUAG